UACGUAGGGGGGCGAGCGUUGUCCGGAUUCAUUGGGCGUAAAGAGCGUGUAGGCGGCCAGGUAGGUCGGUUGUGAAAACUGGAGGCUCAACCUUCAGAGGUCGACCGAAACCAUCUGGCUAGAGUCCGGGAGAGGAGAGUGGAAUUCCUGGUGUAGCGGUGAAAUGCGCAGAUAUCAGGAAGAACACCCGUGGCGAAGGCGGCUCUCUGGGACGGUACUGACGCUGAGACGCGAAAGCGUGGGGAGCGAACAGG
rnacentral:rRNA from 1 species